GAUCCUGGCUCAGGACGAACGCUGGCGGCGUGCCUAAUACAUGCAAGUCGAACGAACUCUGGUAUUGAUUGGUGCUUGCAUCAUGAUUUACAUUUGAGUGAGUGGCGAACUGGUGAGUAACACGUGGGAAACCUGCCCAGAAGCGGGGGAUAACACCUGGAAACAGAUGCUAAUACCGCAUAACAACUUGGACCGCAUGGUCCGAGCUUGAAAGAUGGCUUCGGCAUCACUUUUGGAUGGUCCCGCGGCGUAUUAGCUAGAUGGUGGGGUAACGGCUCACCAUGGCAAUGAUACGUAGCCGACCUGAGAGGGUAAUCGGCCACAUUGGGACUGAGACACGGCCCAAACUCCUACGGGAGGCAGCAGUAGGGAAUCUUCCACAAUGGACGAAAGUCUGAUGGAGCAACGCCGCGUGAGUGAAGAAGGGUUUCGGCUCGUAAAACUCUGUUGUUAAAGAAGAACAUAUCUGAGAGUAACUGUUCAGGUAUUGACGGUAUUUAACCAGAAAGCCACGGCUAACUACGUGCCAGCAGCCGCGGUAAUACGUAGGUGGCAAGCGUUGUCCGGAUUUAUUGGGCGUAAAGCGAGCGCAGGCGGUUUUUUAAGUCUGAUGUGAAAGCCUUCGGCUCAACCGAAGAAGUGCAUCGGAAACUGGGAAACUUGAGUGCAGAAGAGGACAGUGGAACUCCAUGUGUAGCGGUGAAAUGCGUAGAUAUAUGGAAGAACACCAGUGGCGAAGGCGGCUGUCUGGUCUGUAACUGACGCUGAGGCUCGAAAGUAUGGGUAGCAAACAGGAUUAGAUACCCUGGUAGUCCAUACCGUAAACGAUGAAUGCUAAGUGUUGGAGGGUUUCCGCCCUUCAGUGCUGCAGCUAACGCAUUAAGCAUUCCGCCUGGGGAGUACGGCCGCAAGGCUGAAACUCAAAGGAAUUGACGGGGGCCCGCACAAGCGGUGGAGCAUGUGGUUUAAUUCGAAGCUACGCGAAGAACCUUACCAGGUCUUGACAUACUAUGCAAAUCUAAGAGAUUAGACGUUCCCUUCGGGGACAUGGAUACAGGUGGUGCAUGGUUGUCGUCAGCUCGUGUCGUGAGAUGUUGGGUUAAGUCCCGCAACGAGCGCAACCCUUAUUAUCAGUUGCCAGCAUUAAGUUGGGCACUCUGGUGAGACUGCCGGUGACAAACCGGAGGAAGGUGGGGAUGACGUCAAAUCAUCAUGCCCCUUAUGACCUGGGCUACACACGUGCUACAAUGGAUGGUACAACGAGUUGCGAACUCGCGAGAGUAAGCUAAUCUCUUAAAGCCAUUCUAGUUCGGAUUGUAGGCUGCAACUCGCCUACAUGAAGUCGGAAUCGCUAGUAAUCGCGGAUCAGCAUGCCGCGGUGAAUACGUUCCCGGGCCUUGUACACACCGCCCGUCACACCAUGAGAGUUUGUAACACCCAAAGUCGGUGGGGUAACCUUUUAGGAACCAGCCGCCUAAGGUGGGACAGAUGAUUAGGG
rnacentral:rRNA from 2 species